GUUUUAUUUUGCAUAGUGACAUCAACAUGGGAUUUGAAAUAAUGAAAUCACAAGGAGAACAUGUAAUAAAACAAUAAAAAAAAAUAGCUGAAUGAUUUAUAAAUGUCUCCAUAACCCUAAGAUUGCAUUAUUUUUUCCAUUUCACAGAACACUACAUGAUUUUUGCUAGGUUAGAUUUAGUGUUAGGGCUCAAGGUAGUGAGAGAGGGUAUAGUAGGAGUUAAGGGUAGGGUAAGUGAUAGUGUAGUGUUGGGAUUCACGGUGUUGGAAUAUGUAAGCAUUACGGGAAGCAAUUUACUUAUAGAGCAGUCCUUCGAUAUAUAUGAUCCAGUGCGGUGUGAGAAAAAUGUGUUUUACAGUCCUAUAAAGCAGCUAUUACAGCUACUUCCAUUAAAAUAGUGGUAGCUACUGUGUAACAGCCUGUGGGUACUCCAGCUGAGUACCUCCAUUACUUCUCGGCUUCUACUGCUUUGGAGUAAAAUGUGCAGUAAUUUCACACAUGUACACCCCAGGUCUACCUGAGAUUAGUGGUCCAUUUAGUGAACAAAUGUGAUCUGAGCAUUAAUAUGAUGUCAUCAUCAAUGCGGUACAAUGUUCUACAACAUGAUCUUCCUGUUGAAUGUCUGUUAUGUCAUUGGGCACACAGUGUUUUUAAAUCCAGUAUUCUAAUGGUGGGUGAUGUCAUCCGUGCAUUAUCUUAAUAAUUCAAAGUUCGAAUGAUACUCUAUUGUGUGGGUGUCCCUAAUCUCAAUGAAACCCACAUGUUCUAGCCUGUACCAGAUUAGUGUUAGUUACACUCCUAGACAGCAGCAGCUACUUUUAACUGCUGGCAUUUAAAAUAAGCUCUCUCCAAAUAGUGAUAUGGAUGGAGAGGAGCUGAGAAAACAGAAACAGCACAAUUCUGUCUCCCCAGCAGUUCUCCUGACAUAUAAUUAAUGGGAGAUAAGCUGAAUUAAUGGCAUCAGAUGCAAGUAGCAGCUCUUUCCCAGCAAUGAAACUCCCAUGAGUCUAAGGUCCAUGGAGACCUAUAUGUUCCUAAACCUAUUGAUAACGAAGAAAUGUGUAUUAGGAGUGUAAACCUUCUUAUGUCUUCAGAAACACACACACACACACACAUACACACACACACACACACACACAUACACACACACUACCAUACAACUGUUUUUUACAAUCAUGUAAAUAAAAAAAAUACAAUUAGCAAUCCUUAUUAAUCAAAGAGUCAAUCAAACAUGCAUAAGAAAAAGGCACGAGUUAUGUCUAUGAUGAGGCUACAGUGAUAGACAAGGACACACAGUCACCUGCUACAUCAGACUGGCAUAGUUAGUUACAAUAGCUGCACACACACACAGCAAGAGGAAGUGAAAAAGGCCCAUUGAAAAUAAAAUAGACUGCAUUGCCCUUGUCACAUGAGAAGCAGACAUUCCCCCCAAUGAAUUUGCUGUG